UACGGGGGGAGCAAGCGUUGUUCGGAUUUACUGGGCGUAAAGGGCGCGUAGGCGGCGCAACAAGUCACUUGUGAAAUCUCCGGGCUUAACUCGGAGCGGCCAAGUGAUACUGUCGUGCUAGAGUGCGGAAGGGGCAGCUGGAAUUCUCGGUGUAGCGGUGAAAUGCGUAGAUAUCGAGAGGAACACCUGCGGCGAAGGCGGGUUGCUGGGCUGACACUGACGCUGAGGCGCGAAAGCUAGGGGAGCGAACGGG
rnacentral:rRNA from 1 species